rnacentral:lncRNA from 1 species
UUUUUUUUGGAAUAUAUAUUAAGGGUGUUAAGUCCCAAAAAGCCACUCACAGGCUUAAAAAACGUAUACAAAUCAACAAGAUUGAUCUUAAUGUAAUCAUGGAAUCCCAUGUAAACAUGAAAAAUAUCAACAAUUACAUAAAAUUCUUGGGAUAUCAACACUGCAUGCAUCUCCAAUACAAAUAGCCAAAUUUAGCUCUUUUGGAAUGGGAAUCACCAAGACAAUGAUUGUUGCUAACACCGACCAGCAAAUUACCAUUAAAAUGUUUUACAGUCCCUCCAAUUGUGACUUGUAUGUUACAGAUAUUUAUGCAAAAUGCACCUCAGGUGAAAGACAUGAGUUCUAGGUAGAUCUUAA